rnacentral:rRNA from 1 species
CCUACGGGAGGCAGCAGUAGGGAAUCUUCCACAAUGGGCGAAAGCCUGAUGGAGCAACGCCGCGUGGGUGAAGAAGGUCUUCGGAUCGUAAAACCCUGUUGUUAGAGAAGAAAGUGCGUGAGAGUAACUGUUCACGUUUCGACGGUAUCUAACCAGAAAGCCACGGCUAACUACGUGCCAGCAGCCGCGGUAAUACGGAGGGGGCGAGCGUUAGCCGGAUUUAUUGGGCGUAAAGGGAACGCAGGCGGUCUUGUAAGUCUGAUGUGAAAGCCUUCGGCUUAACCGGAGUAGUGCAUUGGAAACUGGGAAACUUGAGUGCGGAAGAGGAGAGUGGAACUCCAUGUGUAGCGGUGAAAUGCGUAGAUAUAUGGAAGAACACCAGUGGCGAAGGCGGCUCUCUGGUCUGUAACUGACGCUGAGGUUCGAAAGCGUGGGUAGCAAACAGGAUUAGAUACCCUUGUAGUC